CCUACGGGAGGCAGCAGUGAGGAAUAUUGGUCAAUGGACGAGAGUCUGAACCAGCCAAGUAGCGUGAAGGAUGACUGCCCUAUGGGUUGUAAACUUCUUUUAUAUGGGAAUAAAAUGUACCACGUGUGGGACCUUGUAUGUACCAUAUGAAUUAGGAACGGCUAACUCCGCGCCAGCAGCCGCGGUAAUACGGUGGAUCCGUGCGUUAUCCGGAUUUAUUGGGUUUAAAGGGAGCGUAGGUGGAUUGUUAAGUCAGUUGUGAAAGUUUGCGGCUCAACCGUAAAAUUGCAGUUGAAACUGGCAGUCUUGAGUGCAGUAGAGGUGAGCGGAAUUCGUGGUGUAGCGGUGGAAUGCUUAGAUAUCACGAAGAACUCCGAUUGCGAAGGCAGCUCACUGGACUGCAACUGACGCUGAGGCUCGAAAGUAUGGGUAGCGAACAGGAUUAGAUACCCGGGUAGUC
rnacentral:rRNA from 1 species